UACGAAGGGUGCAAGCGUUGUUCGGAAUCAUUGGGCGUAAAGCGCGCGCAGGCGGAUCAGUAAGUCAGGUGUGAAAUCUCGAGGCUCAACCUCGAAAUUGCGCCUGAAACUACUAGUCUAGAAUGUCGGAGGGGGCAGGGGAAUUUCACGUGUAGGGGUAAAAUCCGUAGAGAUGUGAAGGAACACCGGUGGCGAAGGCGCCUGCCUGGACGACUAUUGACGCUGAGGCGCGAAAGCGUGGGGAGCAAACAGG
rnacentral:rRNA from 1 species